GUUUUACAUGUCUCCCAGUGGUGCAGUGGGUCUGGCUGUUAACCAGAAGGUUGCUGGUUCAAGCCCACCCAGGAACA